UACGGAGGGUGCAAGCGUUAAUCGGAAUUACUGUGCGUAAAGCGUGCGCAGGCGGUUUGUUAAGUCCGUUGUGAAAGCCCCGAGCUCAACUUGGGAAUUGCAGUGGAUACUGGCAGGCUGGAGUACGGUAGAGGAAGGUGGAAUUCCCGGUGUAGCAGUGAAAUGCGUAGAUAUCGGGAGGAACACCAGUGGCGAAGGCGGCCUUCUGGACCAGUACUGACGCUCAUGCACGAAAGCGUGGGGAGCAAACAGG
rnacentral:rRNA from 1 species